rnacentral:rRNA from 1 species
GAUGCAAGGUUAAGCAGUAAAUGUGGAGCCGUAGCGAAAGCGAGUCUGAAUAGGGCGUUUAGUAUUUGGUCGUAGACCCGAAACCAGGUGAUCUACCCUUGGUCAGGUUGAAGUUCAGGUAACACUGAAUGGAGGACCGAACCGACUUACGUUGAAAAGUGAGCGGAUGAACUGAGGGUAGCGGAGAAAUUCCAAUCGAACCUGGAGAUAGCUGGUUCUCUCCGAAAUAGCUUUAGGGCUAGCCUCAAGUGAUGAUUAUUGGAGGUAGAGCACUGUUUGGACGAGGGGCCCCUCUCGGGUUACCGAAUUCAGACAAACUCCGAAUGCCAAUUAAUUUAACUUGGGAGUCAGAACAUGGGUGAUAAGGUCCGUGUUCGAAAGGGAAACAGCCCAGACCACCAGCUAAGGUCCCAAAAUAUAUGUUAAGUGGAAAAGGAUGUGGCGUUGCCCAGACAACUAGGAUGUUGGCUUAGAAGCAGCCAUCAUUUAAAGAGUGCGUAAUAGCUCACUAGUCGAGUGACACUGCGCCGAAAAUGUACCGGGGCUAAACAUAUUACCGAAGCUGUGGAUUGUCCUUUGGACAAUGGUAGGAGAGCGUUCUAAGGGCGUUGAAGCAUGAUCGUAAGGACAUGUGGAGCGCUUAGAAGUGAGAAUGCCGGUGUGAGUAGCGAAAGACGGGUGAGAAUCCCGUCCACCGAUUGACUAAGGUUUCCAGAGGAAGGCUCGUCCGCUCUGGGUUAGUCGGGUCCUAAGCUGAGGCCGACAGGCGUAGGCGAUGGAUAACAGGUUGAUAUUCCUGUACCACCUAUAAUCGUUUUAAUCGAUGGGGGGACGCAGUAGGAUAGGCGAAGCGUGCGAUUGGAUUGCACGUCUAAGCAGUAAGGCUGAGUAUUAGGCAAAUCCGGUACUCGUUAAGGCUGAGCUGUGAUGGGGAGAAGACAUUGUGUCUUCGAGUCGUUGAUUUCACACUGCCGAGAAAAGCCUCUAGAUAGAAAAUAGGUGCCCGUACCGCAAACCGACACAGGUAGUCAAGAUGAGAAUUCUAAGGUGAGCGAGCGAACUCUCGUUAAGGAACUCGGCAAAAUGACCCCGUAACUUCGGGAGAAGGGGUGCUCUUUAGGGUUAACGCCCAGAAGAGCCGCAGUGAAUAGGCCCAAGCGACUGUUUAUCAAAAACACAGGUCUCUGCUAAACCGUAAGGUGAUGUAUAGGGGCUGACGCCUGCCCGGUGCUGGAAGGUUAAGAGGAGUGGUUAGCUUCUGCGAAGCUACGAAUCGAAGCCCCAGUAAACGGCGGCCGUAACUAUAACGGUCCUAAGGUAGCGAAAUUCCUUGUCGGGUAAGUUCCGACCCGCACGAAAGGCGUAACGAUUUGGGCACUGUCUCAACGAGAGACUCGGUGAAAUCAUAGUACCUGUGAAGAUGCAGGUUACCCGCGACAGGACGGAAAGACCCCGUGGAGCUUUACUGUAGCCUGAUAUUGAAAUUCGGCACAGCUUGUACAGGAUAGGUAGGAGCCUUUGAAACGUGAGCGCUAGCUUACGUGGAGGCGCUGGUGGGAUACUACCCUAGCUGUGUUGGCUUUCUAACCCGCACCACUUAUCGUGGUGGGAGACAGUGUCAGGCGGGCAGUUUGACUGGGGCGGUCGCCUCCUAAAAGGUAACGGAGGCGCUCAAAGGUUCCCUCAGAAUGGUUGGAAAUCAUUCAUAGAGUGUAAAGGCAUAAGGGAGCUUGACUGCGAGACCUACAAGUCGAGCAGGGUCGAAAGACGGACUUAGUGAUCCGGUGGUUCCGCAUGGAAGGGCCAUCGCUCAACGGAUAAAAGCUACCCCGGGGAUAACAGGCUUAUCUCCCCCAAGAGUUCACAUCGACGGGGAGGUUUGGCACCUCGAUGUCGGCUCAUCGCAUCCUGGGGCUGUAGUCGGUCCCAAGGGUUGGGCUGUUCGCCCAUUAAAGUGGUACGCGAGCUGGGUUCAGAACGUCGUGAGACAGUUCGGUCCCUAUCCGUCGUGGGCGUAGGAAAUUUGAGAGGAGCUGUCCUUAGUACGAGAGGACCGGGAUGGACAUACCUCUGGUGUACCAGUUGUCGUGCCAACGGCAUAGCUGGGUAGCUAUGUGUGGACGGGAUAAGUGCUGAAAGCAUCUAAGCAUGAAGCCCCCCUCAAGAUGAGAUUUCCCAACUUCGGUUAUAAGAUCCCUCAAAGAUGAUGAGGUUAAUAGGUUCGAGGUGGAAGCAUGGUGACAUGUGGAGCUGACGAAUACUAAUCGAUCGAAGACUUAAUCAA